AUGGAGGUUGCCGCGGCGGGAGAGCCGGCGCCCGCGGGCGAGUGGCUGGAGGAGCGCGGCGUGGACGCCGUGUACCUCCCCAGGCUGAUCGCCGGCGUCAUCUCCGGCGCGCUCACCGGCCUCUUCGCUCUCGCUGGAGCAUUGACCGGGGCCGUCACCGGCGCGCUGGCGGGCAGAGCCUCCGACAGCGGCGUUCUCCGGGGAGCUGGACUGGGAGCGAUUGCCGGGGCCGUCCUCUCCAUCGAGGUUCUCGAGGCGUCUCGCGCGUACUGGUGCUCGGACCGGCUCGGCACAUGCUCCAUGGCAGAUUUCAUAGAGCAGCUCCUUCAUGCCCGGUUUGUGCAACAGCAGCUUGGAUCCUCGGCACACAUGGCGUACCGUUGGCAGCUCAGCAUACCGGAUUUUGGGCACGAUGAUGUGUACGACAUCUUCGGGGACAUUUCGUCGAGAGGGCUUUCGCGGGAGGCACUGGAGAAAUUACCGCACUAUGUGGUGGCUGAUCAGGCUCAGGCUCAGGGCAAAUCGGGUGAAAACCUGUCUUGCGCCAUCUGUCUACAGGAUAUGGUAGCCGGUGAGAUGGCGAGAAGGUUGCCCACUUGCUCCCAUGCUUUUCAUCAGCUCUGCGUGGACAAAUGGCUCAUUAGCCACGGUUCAUGCCCUGUGUGUCGGCAACAUGUGUAG
rnacentral:rRNA from 1 species